rnacentral:rRNA from 1 species
AUUCCAGCUCCAAUAGCGUAUAUUAAAGUUGUUGCAGUUAAAAAGCUCGUAGUUGAAUUUCGGGAUCAAUAUAUCGGUCGUGCCUUGGUACGUACUGGUAUCAUUGGUUUCUCCUUUCUGACGAACCAUGAUGUCAUUAAUUUGGUGUUAUGGGAAGUUAGGACUGUUACUUUGAAAAAAUUAGAGUGUUUAAAGCAGGCUUUAGCUUGAAUACAUUAGCAUGGAAUAAUGAAAUAGGACGUUCGAACCUAUUUUGUUGGUUUCUAGGAUCAACGUAAUGAUUAAUAGGGAUAGUUGGGGGCAUUAGUAUUCAAUUGUCAGAGGUGAAAUUCUUGGAUUUAUUGAAGACUAACUACUGCGAAAGCAUUUGCCAAGGAUGUUUUCAUUAAUCAAGAACGAAAGUUAGGGGAUCGAAGACGAUCAGAUACCGUCGUAGUCUUAACCAUAAACUAUGCCGACUAGGGAUCGGAUGAUGUUAAUUUUUUAAUGACUCAUUCGGCGCCUUACGGGAAACCAAAGUGUUUGGGUUCCGGGGGGAGUAUGGUCGCAAGGCUGAAACUUAAAGGAAUUGACGGAAGGGCACCACCAGGGGUGGAGCCUGCGGCUUAAUUUGACCCAACACGGGGAAACUCACCAGGUCCAGACAUAGUAAGUAUCUCAAGAUUGAGAGCUCUUUCUUGAUUCUAUGGGUGGUGGUGCAUGGCCGUUCUUAGUUGGUGGAGUGAUUUGUCUGGUUAAUUCCGUUAACGAACGAGUCCUCAAUGUGCUAAAUAGUGUCGCUCACCGGCGGAUCUCCGCGGGCGUCGGCCGACGAGGCCGGUGCCCUCGGGGGUUCGCGUUAAGGUGUGGGCGAGCUAUUACUUCUUAUAGAGACAGUUGACACGACUUUAUAGUCAAAGGAGGCUUGAGGCAAAAACAGGUCUGUGAUGCCGCUCGAUGUCCGGGGCUGCACGCGCGUUACACUGACAUGUUCAACGAGUAUUACGAUUUCACCUGGCCCGACGGGGUUUAGGCAAUCUGUAAACGCAUGUCGUGAUGGGGAUUGUGCUUUGAAACUAUCGCACAUCAACGAGGAAUUCCUAGUAAGGGUGGGUCAUCAACCCGCCCUGAUUACGUCCCUGUCCUUUGUACACACCGCCCGUCGCUUCUACCGAUCGAAUUGCUCGAUGAGAAUUCGGGACGAGGG